GCGGGGAAACUCCUGGUCGCGCCUGACCUGCUUUUUCGGGCAGGAAGGGUGAGGAAAGUCCGGGCACCGCAGGGCAAGGAUGCCAGCUAACGGCUGGUCGGCGAGUCGAGCGCCCGCGUGUGCGCCAAGGGCAGGCGGAAAGCGGCGAAGUCGAAGGAAAGUGCCACAGAAACCAGACCGCCAUCCCACACGGCCCCGGCGCGGGUGCGCGAUGGUCAGGGUGAAACGGUGCGGUAAGAGCGCACCAGGUUCCCUGGAGACAGGGAGCGUCUGGUAAACCCCAUCCGGUGCAAGACCCGACAGUACGGUAGGGCGGCCCGCCCGCUGACCGUCAGGAUGGUCGCUAGAGGCGCCCUGGCAACAGGCGUCCCAGAGAGAUGACCAGGCUGCCGCAGCUUCCCUGGGGCAGACAGAACCCGGCUUACCGUUUCCCCGUGCCU
rnacentral:RNase_P_RNA from 1 species